GCCCAUUGUGGGCCAAGGGAUCCUCUGCCUGGCAUCGCUGGGUGUUUUAGCUGUUUAAGGCUCUUGCCUCAGGCUCCAAGAUGACUGCAGAAAUGGUGGUGAAGAUGAGCUCUUCAGGCAGAGUGAGAGUCUUGGUUUUAUAUUUGCCUCCCGGAUCUAAUUCUCAGCACUGAACCUGCUUAAGAGGAAGUACAACACCCAACUCUGCUACUGCUAAUGAAAAAGCAAGCUAAAAAGUCAAGUCAACAUUACUCAGUGUCUUUGCACUAGAUUAAGAAUCUGCAUUUUUCUUCUGAGAGCCUGACAGUCCUGGGAAAUAAAGACCCAGCACCAUGUAGCAAGGAGUUGGUUGUGAAAGCUUUUGUGUCCUCUUGCCUAUCUAUAAAUGUGCCUUCAAUUCUGACCUACUUUACUGGGUGGUACCUCAGGUAGUUCUUUGUCUUUUGGAGGUUUCUGUGUGUAAAUGACUGUGUAAAACUUACAUACAA